GACACGACUCUCGGCAACGGAUAUCUCGGCUCUCGCAUCGAUGAAGAACGUAGCAAAAUGCGAUACCUGGUGUGAAUUGCAGAAUCCCGCGAACCAUCGAGUUUUUGAACGCAAGUUGCGCCCGAGGCCUUCCGGCCGAGGGCACGUCUGCCUGGGCGUCACGC
rnacentral:rRNA from 5 species